UUUCCUUUCUGGUGUUUUGUAUCUUUAAGGUCUGGCCAGUUCUCUCCUACAGGCUAACUAGCAUUCCUGUCAAGGAGACACCUUUAAUGUUCUGUCGAUUCUUCCCCCACAGUUAUGUCUGAUUUCCCCUUCGGCUAGAGCUAGCCUUUGCAGAAGUUUCAGUUACCCAGUUAGGAACUUUAAAAUUGGGGGGAUUUAGGUUAACCGGCCGCAAACUGCUUGGCCAAAUCUAACGAAGUGGUGUUGGCGCCACCUGGUGGUACUUGUGAGCUCUGAUUUAAAUGUCAACAGAGUCCCUCGGGUUCCGAACUAGUUGGGAGUUUAUAGGGUAGAGGAAGCCGCUCCUGGUACGGUCCUGUUAGUGGGAACCUUGCUGCCUUUGAUCUCAUCGCUUGUGAGAAACUUACAUAAGUGAUCUGCAAACUUUGAUACCGAAAGUGUGAUCUUUCGACAAUUACCUGCUCAGACGGCCUUUGUUUUCUGAAGCACAAACCAGAGAUUUUUCAGAUGAGGACACUGACAAUCCUCUCCGUUCGUCAGGCUCACAUGUUUGGACCUGCCCGGCCACCUUCCCUCUCUGGCAUGCUCAGCCUCCACCACUGGCUCCUGGUCAUCCUUCGGGUCCGAGUGAAAGUUUUUCCCUCCCGGAAGCUCUCUCUGGCCAUCCUACUGAAAGGAUUAAAUCUUUGAAUCAC